GAUGAACGCUGGCGGCGUGCCUAAUACAUGCAAGUCGAGCGAACAGACGAUGAGCUUGCGCCCCUGCGGUUGGCGGCUGACGGACGGGUAACGCGUGGAUCACCUACCUCUUUGUCUUGGGUGAUUUCGGGGAAACGCAUAUACUAACACCUCAUAUAUCCUACCGGAUGAUGCAAUGGUUAAACACGGCUUUCGCGUCAGUUAUAGCCGGAUUCGCGCCGCCUUAGCUAGUUGGUAAGGUAACGGCUAACCAAGGCACCGAUGCGGAGCCGACCUGAGAGGGUGAUCGGCCACACUGGAACUGAGACACGGUCCAGACUCCUACGGGAGGCAGCAGUGGGGAAUCUUCCGCAAUGGGCGAAAGCCUGACGGAGCAACACCGCGUGAGUGAUGAAGGUCUUCGGGUCGUAAAGCUCUUUUGUUGGGAAAGAACAAAUGUGUAAGAAUCUAUGCACGUCUUGACGGUACCUAAACAGAAAGCCACGGCUAACUACGUG
rnacentral:rRNA from 1 species